rnacentral:rRNA from 1 species
AAUGGGCGAAAGCCUGAUGCAGCAACGCCGCGUGAGUGAUGAAGGCCUUCGGGUCGUAAAACUCUGUCCUCAAGGAAGAUAAUGACGGUACUUGAGGAGGAAGCCCCGGCUAACUACGUGCCAGCAGCCGCGGUAAUACGUAGGGGGCUAGCGUUAUCCGGAUUUACUGGGCGGAAAGGGUGCGUAGGCGGUCUUUCAAGUCAGGAGUGAAAGGCUACGGCUCAACCGUAGUAAGCUCUUGAAACUGGGAGACUUGAGUGCAGGAGAGGAGAGUGGAAUUCCUAGUGUAGCGGUGAAAUGCGUAGAUAUUAGGAGGAACACCAGUUGCGAAGGCGGCUCUCUGGACUGUAACUGACGCUGAGGCACGAAAGCGUGGGGAGCAAACAGGAUUAGAUACCCUGGUAGUCCACGCUGUAAACGAUGAGUACUAGGUGUCGGGGGUUACCCCCUUCGGUGCCGCAGCUAACGCAUUAAG